rnacentral:sRNA from 1 species
UCCUAGUCCGGACGGAAGUGAAAAUCCUUAUGUUCCGGUGUUGGUCCUAUAAGAUUAUAGCGUGCUGAUAGUGAU